rnacentral:rRNA from 1 species
CGUGGGUAUCAAACAGGAUUAGAUACCCUGGUAGUCCACGCAGUAAACGAUGAAUGCUAAUUGUCCGGGGCGAGUGAGCUCUGGGUGAUACAGCGAAAGCGUUAAGCAUUCCACCUGGGGAGUACGCCGGCAACGGUGAAACUCAAAGGAAUUGACGGGGGCCCGCACAAGCGGAGGAACAUGUGGUUUAAUUCGAUGAUACGCGAGGAACCUUACCCGGGCUCAAACGUAGCAGGAAUAAUUGAGAAAUCAGUUAGUUCUUCGGAACCUGCUACGAGGUGCUGCAUGGUUGUCGUCAGCUCGUGCCGUGAGGUGUCGGCUUAAGUGCCAUAACGAGCGCAACCCCCAUCGACAGUUGCUAACAGAUCAAGCUGAGGACUCUGUCGAGACUGCCGGCGCAAGCUGUGAGGAAGGCGGGGAUGACGUCAAAUCAGCACGGCCCUUACGUCCGGGGCGACACACGUGUUACAAUGGCGGGGACAGCGGGAAGCCACCUGGCGACAGGGAGCGGAACCCGAAACCCCGUCUCAGUUCGGAUUGGAGUCUGCAACCCGACUCCAUGAAGCUGGAUUCGCUAGUAAUC